rnacentral:rRNA from 1 species
CUGGUUGAUCCUACCAGUAAUAUACGCUUGUCUCAAAGGUUAAGCCAUGCAUGUCUAAGUACAAACAUAAAUGAAUGUGAAACCGCAUAAGGCUCAGUAUAACAGCUAUAAUUCACAAGAUCAUCCUACCACUAGUUACUUGGAUAACUGUGGAAAAUCCAGAGCUAAUACAUGCAACAUGCCGGGACUGUUGCCCUCGCGGGUAGCUGAACUGGUGCACUUAUUAGUUAAACCAAUCGCCUCCGGGCGGCUUGAGUUGAAGUCUGGAUAAGGACGCAGAUCGUAUGGUCGCUUGUCGACUGACGACAGAUCUUUCAAAUGUCUGCCCUAUCAACUAUUGAUGGUAGUGUAGAGGACUACCAUGGUUGCGACGGGUAACGGGGAAUCAGGGUUCGAUUCCGGAGAGGGAGCCUGAGAAAUGGCUACCACAUCCAAGGAAGGCAGCAGGCGCGUAAAUUACCCAAUCCCAGUACGGGAGGUAGUGACGAGAAAUAACAAUAUGGACCUCUCUAACGAUGGUCCAUAAUUGGAAUGAGUUGAGUAUAAAUCCUUCAACAAGGAUCAAGUGGAGGGCAAGUCUGGUGCCAGCAGCCGCGGUAAUUCCAGCUCCACUAGCGUAUAUUAAAGUUGUUGCGGUUAAAACGUUCGAAGUUGAUUGCCCGUCCAGACACGUGACCGCCACGGGCGCCCGGUUACACGCCGGGGCCGUUCGUGCGCGCGCUCACGGCUGCGACUCACAAUGGUGUACUUGGGCGUUACUCCUGUGAAACGAGUACCGUGCUACCGGUUAACUCCGGCACGGGCUCCUCAUGGUGCUCAAGAUACUCACAUUUACCUUGAACAAAUUAGAGUGCUCAAAGCAGGCUAAGACAAAGCGUCCGGCCCCCCGU